GACGAACGCUGGCGGCAUGCCUAACACAUGCAAGUCGAACGAGACCUUCGGGUCUAGUGGCGCACGUGUGCGUACCGCGUGGGAACCUGCCUUUAGGUUCGGUAUCCCUCAGUGAAAUUUGAGCUAAUACCGGUUGAUGUCUUCGGACCAAAGAUUUAUCGCGUUUUGAUGGGGCCGCGUUGGAUUCGCCAGUUGGUGGGGUAAUGGCCUGCCAACGCGUCGAUCCAUAGCUGGUCUGUGAGGAGGAUCAGCCACAAUGGGCCUGAGACACGGCCUAGUCUCCUACGGAAGGGAGCAGUAGGGAAUAUUGGACGAGGGGCGAAAGCCUGAUACAGCAAUGCGGGGUGAGUGAGGAAGGGCUUAGGGUUGUAAAGCUCUUUGACCCGAGAUGAUAAUGACAGUAUCGGGAGAAUAAGCUCCGGCUAACUCCGUG
rnacentral:rRNA from 1 species